UGGGCGUAAGCGUGCGUAGGCGGCUUUUUAAGUCGGAUGUGAAAUCCCUGAGCUUAACUUAGGAAUUGCAUUCGAUACUGGAAAGCUAGAGUAUGGGAGAGGAUGGUAGAAUUCCAGGUGUAGCGGUGAAAUGCGUAGAGAUCUGGAGGAAUACCGAUGGCGAAGGCAGCCAUCUGGCCUAAUACUGACGCUGAGGUACGAAAGCAUGGGGAGCAAACAGGAUUAGAUACCCUGGUAGUCCAUGCCGUAAACGAUGUCUACUAGCCGUUGGGGCCUUUGAGGCUUUAGUGGCGCAGCUAACGCGAUAAGUAGACCGCCUGGGGAGUACGGUCGCAAGACUAAAACUCAAAUGAAUUGACGGGGGCCCGCACAAGCGGUGGAGCAUGUGGUUUAAUUCGAUGCAACGCGAAGAACCUUACCUGGCCUUGACAUACUAAGAACUUUCCAGAGAUGGAUUGGUGCCUUCGGGAACUUAGAUACAGGUGCUGCAUGGCUGUCGUCAGCUCGUGUCGUGAGAUGUUGGGUUAAGUCCCGCAACGAGCGCAACCCUUUUCCUUAUUUGCCAGCGGGUUAUGCCGGGAACUUUAGGGAUACUGCCAGUGACAAACU
rnacentral:rRNA from 1 species